CGAGGAGGAGGAAGAGGAAAAGGAGGAUUGGCUAAACGACGGGGACGGAUGCGACGACGGAGAGACGGAGUCGGAAUGAUGUGGAGAACGUAGAGUGCAGCAUUGUCGGAGAGUCAGAGAGAGCGGCAGAGAGGACCGUUGGUGCGCGCAAAAGAUGCAGGCAAGAAGGGUUGGCACACAUCCGAUCGAUUGGGUGGAGGGUACCGAGAGAGAAAGAGGGCCCCCGGGUUGCAGGCAAAAAAUAGCGUUUUGUGUACCACAGACGCAGGAGGAUACCCUCAUCGAACGCGCCACUAUUUCAUUGAGGUUACGAGAGAGUGAUGGGUGGAGGAAGGCCGCGCACUUUACAGAUGCUACUGGUCUGGUGGUUUAUGAUUGCGGGAGGAGAGAAUAAGA
ensembl:ncRNA T19F4.6 ncRNA